rnacentral:lncRNA from 1 species
CCCAUCCUGCUUCCAGCAUGGCUGGAACACAGGGGCCAGCCUUACCUCCCCAGGGGCUGUGCAGGCCUCAGCUUCCGCCUCUCUGGGAGAUUGGAGCAGUGAAAAGAUGGGCCAAUGGGCAAGGGGAGUCGCAAUGGUGGGUGGGGCUCUGGUCCCUGUGGGUGGCACCCUCCCCCUUCAAGCAGGCACCAUUAAUAUAUGCAAAGCAUAUGCAAAUCACCCAGAAGAGAGACACAACAUCGGUGGAAUGUCAGAAGAGACCUUGGAGAUGAUCCAGCCCACGCCCCCUCAUUUCACAGGGUGGGUCCCUGGCCAGAGAGAGAGAAAGAGAGAGUGCAUCUGAGGGCUCUGCAUCCCAGCACCAACGCCAUACCCUGUACAUCUUUAAGAAACCUGGAGCCCAGCAGGAACCGGGCCAUGAUGACCCCAGAUCCCGCGCCCCCAUUGGGCAAGGAGGACAGCAGGAAGCCUGGAGGGGGGCAGGCCUCCCAGUGGCUCAUUCCCAGGGACCCUUCCCCAGGAGAGUUCCCCAUCUCCACUCAGCACUGCCUGAGGACCACAGUUGCUUCUUCCAGAUCCCCAGAGCAUGUGGGGGACCCACGUCUCCAUCCCAGCCCUGAGGGUCAUCACAGAGAACAAGCCAUCACGGUAACUUCCCUCUGGUCUUCCUCCCCCGCCCCUGGCGUGGCUCUCAGUUGGGAGGGGGCAGCUAGCGUGUUUGAAGGAUUGGAACAGCAGAUCUUAACCACCCAACUUUGCCCUUCUCAAACACUCCACCCGGCCGCCUCGACUGUUCCUGGAAGCCUGCAGGUGGGAGGUCAUGGGGGAACACCCUGGAGGUGA